CGCCUUGCGGCGUGCCUAAUACAUGCAAGUCGAGCGAACUGAUUAGAAGCUUGCUUCUAUGACGUUAGCGGCGGACGGGUGAGUAACACGUGGGCAACCUGCCUGUAAGACUGGGAUAACUUCGGGAAACCGAAGCUAAUACCGGAUAGGAUCUUCUCCUUCAUGGGAGAUGAUUGAAAGAUGGUUUCGGCUAUCACUUACAGAUGGGCCCGCGGUGCAUUAGCUAGUUGGUGAGGUAACGGCUCACCAAGGCAACGAUGCAUAGCCGACCUGAGAGGGUGAUCGGCCACACUGGGACUGAGACACGGCCCAGACUCCUACGGGAGGCAGCAGUAGGGAAUCUUCCGCAAUGGACGAAAGUCUGACGGAGCAACGCCGCGUGAGUGAUGAAGGCUUUCGGGUCGUAAAACUCUGUUGUUAGGGAAGAACAAGUACAAGAGUAACUGCUCGUACCUUGACGGUACCUAACCAGAAAGCCACGGCUAACUACGUGCCAGCAGCCGCGGUAAUACGUAGGUGGCAAGCGUUAUCCGGAAUUAUUGGGCGUAAAGCGCGCGCAGGCGGUUUCUUAAGUCUGAUGUGAAAGCCCACGGCUCAACCGUGGAGGGUCAUUGGAAACUGGGGAACUUGAGUGCAGAAGAGAAAAGCGGAAUUCCACGUGUAGCGGUGAAAUGCGUAGAGAUGUGGAGGAACACCAGUGGCGAAGGCGGCUUUUUGGUCUGUAACUGACGCUGAGGCGCGAAAGCGUGGGGAGCAAACAGGAUUAUAUACCCUGGUAGUCCACGCCGUAAACGAUGAGUGCUAAGUGUUGGAGGGUUUCCGCCCUUCUAUUGCU
rnacentral:rRNA from 2 species